AGUAUAUAUAAGACCAGCUUUGCAGAAAGCCAUGUGAUUUGGCUUUCUUCUUGAUUGGCUGACAAGGGAAAAAAAGCACACAGCUUCCCUUGUCAAUCAUAUCAGCCCCCUCCCCCUCCAACUCCAGACAAUUAUGGGUGACAGAGGAUGUUCCACUGAAAAAUAAAGCUCUUGAAACAACAAAUCUUUUAUCAGUCUAUCUGAAAGUUUGUGGCUUGUGUUUUGAUUCAUAAAUUCUUCAGAGGGGUCCUUUCUGAUUAGUAAUUUGGAGGUUCAUAUUUACGAAUCAUCCGAAUCUCCCAAUUUCAAAGCCGGGCUCUGAAGCUUUGCACACCCCUAAUAGAUAUACAUGUCCAUUUUGUUCCUACAUUCUACAUAGAAUAGCUUUUGGAGGUGGCUGGUGGUUCUGUGUCAAAGAGAUGACGGGUCUAUUUUGGGGUUUAAUUUGAAUUUUACUUUGGACAUUAUUACAUGAAGCUCUAAGAAUAGGAUCUGGAGUUGCAAACCCAUCAGAGUGGAUAGCCAGCCACUCUCCCCAUCGUACUGCUAUUUUCUGAAAGUGUUUUAACUUAACUUUUACGUGUUUACCUUAUCAGAUCACUGUGAGUUAACUCAUCCCAACCCAUGUAUUGCCCUCUUCAUCCCUGACAGUUGUUUUUCUGCCAGUGUUGCACAGAUGCAUGAUUUCAGUUUUAUCAUUUCAUGUUUUUGGACCGGCACAAUUGUGCAGUAACAUUGGGAGGAAUGACUAAACCCCUUCCAGAAUUCUAUUCUGCACAGCACAUCUUCCAGCCUUCUUUACUGAUAGCAAUAGGUCUUGAUGAUGUAAUUUUCUUAAUGCUGUGGUGUUUUCUGCUUGUUUGAAGUGAGAGGCAGAGAAUGCUUAGAAGGAAAAGAAUUGUGAAAGCAGUGACAUAGAUUCUGGAAACCCAUGCUCUUUUGAACUCCAGAGUCAUUGAUUCUGUGGCAGAAAUCAGCAAUGUUCUGGCCUGAUUUGGGGCCACAGCAGCACCCAGGUGUUUGUAGGUGAUACCCCAUGUCAGAUGUUAUUAGGGUAAAGAGAAGAGUCGCAUGUCCUAUGAGAUGAUGACAUGUAGCUGAGAACUUCAGGAUGAUGGUGACAUUAUUAUGGAGAUAGAACUCAACAGCUCGAAUGUCUCCCUAAAGUUCAGUCUAAAAUUUGGCAUGGUUUCAUUGUCCCACUGACAGAAACCAUGAAGGUUGUGACUCUUACAGCUAAAUCAUUCCUUUUGGUUUGAUGUGGUCCUUGUGUUGAUCAUUUGUAACAUUACACCCUAGAUGUGGGAGGAACGUGCUUGAGCAGAGGAAUUGUUUGGUUUUAUGGCUUUUUUAUUUUAAGUACGGUACUUCUAGGAAACUGCCUUUGUUUGGCACUGUAUAAACUUAGAAACUAUUACAGAGAAGCAUGGAAAUAUUUUCAUAGCAAUGCACAGUACAUUUAUGCAAACAGAUGGGAGCUGAAGGUAACAAUGAAAAUCUUCCUGACAGGAACUCUUCACAGACUGAAGCCUAUGCUGCCAAGGAAGAUCCUUAACUCUGCUGUUUUGUACCUCUCCAAAUCCACCACCAAUAAACGCUGGCAGUUGUGUUGAAAAACAACAAUCUGGCUCUUAAUGAUAGAGUGAGCAGCUAUGAUCCUGCUCACCACCUCUGAGGAUGCCUGCCAUAGAUGCAGGCGAAAUGUCAGGAGAAAAUGCUUCUGGAAUAUGGCCAGACAGCCUGGAAAGCUCACAGCAACCCAGUGAUUCCAGCCAUGAAAGCCUUUGACAACGCAAGUGUUUGCAGUUUAAUAAACUUUCCCUGUAUUUCAAUGAUAGAACCAAUUGGGAAAUGACUUUCAUAACCAAGGAACAAAAAUGGUGUUCCCUA